UCAGGGCUGUAACUAUGUUAGCUGUUUCCAGAUGCUCACCAUGGGGGAGGAGAAUCCUAAACUUGGAGAAAGUUUCUGAAUUUUAAUUUGCACUAGCAAGGUGAUUAUUUGAAGGAUGCUUGAUCCCAGCAUUACAGAGAUCCCUGCAACCUCUGUUGCAUUGCAAGGCCUUGGAGUGAGGUGGCUGCCAGGAGGCUGAGCAGUAAGGACACAUCAGCUCCAAAGAGCUAAUGGCAGCCACGGCAGCGUUAAACAAGACAAGCAGUUCCCAUCUGACUCCUCUCUGCCUGUGUGCUGAGCUGUGCCGCUGCUCCUGGCAGGCUGUGGGCACUCAGGGACACUCGGGGGCUCUGCAGGAGGAGCUGACACACAUCCAGCCUCAGACAGGUGCUGUAAACCUGCUCCCUGCUCGCCGUGACUACGCAGAGACAAAAGGCUCUGCCUGGGACACAACAACCCUUGGCUGCUGGAGCACAGAUGGUGUGCAAGUGCUUUGUGUGACACGAGGUGUUAGAAAGUGCUCAGCUCACUAACGUGCUGUCAGGACCUGUUUUCUCCAAGCUGCCAGCCUGUCAUUGUCUUUUGGAAACCAGCAUGCAGCCAGGAAAACCAUUUCCAUCAGAAACAGAAGCUCUGUUUAUACUUCACUUUCAUUUUCUCCUACCAGGCAAGGUCAGAAAGGACAGAAGGCAGAGGGGCCAGCACGAUCUGCUGUGGGAAUAUGCAGCACUCAGGACAUAAUGAUCCACUUGGCUGUGUCUCAUUGAGCAUCCACCAGAUGACCAUCAGGAACUGACAGAGGUAGAGGCAGAGUGGCCCUUUUGUCUGGUU